UUCAGCUCCCGUGCAGAGCUGAUUAUUAAAUAUGAGCAAACAGCAGCGUGUUUUCUGUCUCCUGUCACAUCUGUAAGGACAGUAACACCAAAUUAAAGAGAAAGCUUGCACUUCAGUAAACCCUCAUUAAUCAUUAACUAUGGAUUAAAAUAGUAAAGCUCAAUAUUUAUGUACUGAAACCAACUACAGCCGUUUGGCAGCUUAACUUCAAAUUUGUGUUUAAUUUGGUUUCAAAUAUUCAGGUUAAAAACAAAAGUCUGAUAUUGAAUGAUUCUCAAUGUGGUAUUGUUCACAAAGUUACAUGUGCAGUACUCUGUACAGCUUACAUAAUUUGUGAAAUAAUUUAAAGCAUUAGUAUUUGUUGUUGAAUUCUCAGGCAGCAGACCAGGAUGCAGCAGCAGACUGAACCAGGACUGAAACCAUCUCAUUUUUGCAGAUUUCCAUUUACAAAGCACCAAAAGUCAAAGGCAGCAGACCAGGAUGCAGCAGCAGACUGAACCAGGACUGAAACCAUCUCAUUUUUGCAGAUUUCCAUUUACAAAGCACCAAAAAGUCAAAGAUCUGGCACACUGAGUCCUGACGCCGUGGGAAGCCAGCACCGAAGUCUGUGCACAGCCCUCUUAGAAUUCGGGUCCGGACCGGUGUUUAUAGUCUGGUCCACGGCGGUGGGAUUCAGUCUGACGAUCCAAACCACCAGUGAGACGUCUGAGGGUGAGAAACACUAUUUUGAUAUAUAAAACGGCCGCAAAGGUUUAAAGAAACGUGAUAAA